GAUGAACGCUGGCGGCGUGCUUAACACAUGCAAGUCGAACGGAAAGGCCCAAGCUUGCUUGGGUACUCGAGUGGCGAACGGGUGAGUAACACGUGGGUGAUCUGCCCUGCACUUCGGGAUAAGCCUGGGAAACUGGGUCUAAUACCGGAUAGGACGAUGGUUUGGAUGCCAUUGUGGAAAGUUUUUUCGGUGUGGGAUGAGCUCGCGGCCUAUCAGCUUGUUGGUGGGGUAAUGGCCUACCAAGGCGUCGACGGGUAGCCGGCCUGAGAGGGUGUACGGCCACAUUGGGACUGAGAUACGGCCCAGACUCCUACGGGAGGCAGCAGUGGGGAAUAUUGCACAAUGAGCGCAAGCCUGAUGCAGCGACGCCGCGUGGGGGAUGACGGCCUUCGGGUUGUAAACUCCUUUCGCUAGGGACGAAGCGUUUUUGUGACGGUACCUGGAGAAGAAGCACCGGCUAACUACGUG
rnacentral:rRNA from 1 species